rnacentral:antisense_RNA from 1 species
AAAGAUCGCAGCCUGCGGUAGCUCCUACGGGAUCGGGUUUACAUCCGGAUAGUGUAGGGGCUGCCGCAGGCUGCGAUCUUU